GACGAACGCUGGCGGCGUGCUUAACACAUGCAGUCGAACGGAAAGGCCCUGCUUUUGUGGGGUGCUCGAGUGGCGAACGGGUGAGUAACACGUGAGUAACCUGCCCUUGACUUUGGGGUAACUUCAGGAAACUUGGGCUAAUACCGGAUAGGAGCUCCUGCUUCAUGGUGGGGGGUGGAAAGUUUCGGCGGUUGGGGAUGGACUCGCGGCUUAUCAGCUUGUUGGUGGGGUAGUGGCUUACCAAGGCUUUGACGGGUAGCCGGCCUGAGAGGGUGACCGGCCACAUUGGGACUGAGAUACGGCCCAGACUCCUACGGGAGGCAGCAGUGGGGAAUAUUGCACAAUGGGCGGAAGCCUGAUGCAGCAACGCCGCGUGCGGGAUGACGGCCUUCGGGUUGUAAACCGCUUUCGCCUGUGACGAAGCGUGAGUGACGGUAAUGGGUAAAGAAGCACCGGCUAACUACGUG
rnacentral:rRNA from 1 species